rnacentral:rRNA from 1 species
AGUUUGAUCCUGGCUCAGGAUGAACGCUAGCUACAGGCUUAACACAUGCAAGUCGAGGGGCAGCGAGAGGUUAGCUUGCUAACCUUGUCGGCGACCGGCGCACGGGUGAGUAACGCGUAUCCAACCUUCCCCUUAGUAGGGCAUAGCCCGGCGAAAGUCGGAUUAAUACCCUAUGUUGUCCUUUGCAGGCAUCUAACGAGGACUAAAGAUUCAUCGCUAAGGGAUGGGGAUGCGUCUGAUUAGCUUGAUGGCGGGGUAACGGCCCACCAUGGCGACGAUCAGUAGGGGUUCUGAGAGGAAGGUCCCCCACAUUGGUACUGAGACACGGACCAAACUCCUACGGGAGGCAGCAGUGAGGAAUAUUGGUCAAUGGGCGCGAGCCUGAACCAGCCAAGUAGCGUGCAGGACGACUGCCCUAUGGGUUGUAAACUGCUUUUAUGCGGGAAUAAAGUGCACUACGCGUAGUGUUUUGUAUGUACCGCAUGAAUAAGGACCGGCUAAUUCCGUGCCAGCAGCCGCGGUAAUACGGAAGGUCCGGGCGUUAUCCGGAUUUAUUGGGUUUAAAGGGAGCGCAGGCCGGGGAUUAAGCGUGACGUGAAAUGUAGGUGCUCAACGUCUGCACUGCGUCGCGAACUGGUUCCCUUGAGUGAGUACGACGUCGGCGGAAUUCGUGGUGUAGCGGUGAAAUGCUUAGAUAUCACGAAGAACUCCGAUUGCGAAGGCAGCCGACGAGUCCUUAACUGACGCUAAUGCUCGAAAGUGCGGGUAUCGAACAGGAUUAGAUACCCUGGUAGUCCGCACGGUAAACGAUGGAUGCCCGCUGUUGGCGAUACACUGUCAGCGGCCAAGCGAAAGCGUUAAGCAUCCCACCUGGGGAGUACGCCGGCAACGGUGAAACUCAAAGGAAUUGACGG